GACGAACGCUGGCGGCGCGCCUACUACAUGCAAGUCGAACGCAGUGGGGACGGGUGAGUAACACGUGGGUAACCUCCCAUCAGAGGGGAUAACACUUGGCAACAGGUUCUAAACCGCUCCUGAUGGCUGGACCCGCGGUGCAUUAGCUAGUUGGGGAUGUAAAGGCUCACCAAGGCCACGAUGCAUAGCUGACCUGAGAGUGGGAGCUGCACCACUGGGACUGAGACACGGCCCAGAGUCCUACGGUAGGCAGAAGUAGGGAAUCUUCGGCAAUGGACGAAAGUCUGACCGAGCAACGCCGCGUGAGUGAAGAAGGUUUUCGGAUAGUAAAACUCUGUUGUUAGAGAAGCGGUAUCUAACCAGAAAGCCACGGCUAACUACGUGCCAGCAGCCGCGGUAAUAC
rnacentral:rRNA from 1 species